UUUCGUAGAUCCAUGCUUGAAAGGCUACCAACAUAUCUCGUAGCCUAUAAUGUGCGGUUUGUCGACUCAAUGCAUCUUUCAAAGAACUCAAAGUAAUCUCAAACGGUAACUUUCCCCAUGGGAAACUGUUCAGCGCAGGGAAGUCCUCAACAAGCGCGAACAAGUAAUGGUCAACCACUUUCUUAUAAUCUCUAGGAAAUAAGUAUGCAGUAAUGAAGUACAGGAUACCAAUGAGUGCAACAUCA
rnacentral:lncRNA from 1 species